rfam:Ixodes scapularis strain Wikel colony gcontig_1108378237898, whole genome shotgun sequence.
CCCUGGUUACCUCAGUUGGUAGAGCGCUCCACUUGUAAUGGAGAGGUCCCGGGUUCGAUACCCGGACCAGGCG